rnacentral:rRNA from 1 species
UACAGAGGUCUCAAGCGUUGUUCGGAUUCAUUGGGCGUAAAGGGUGCGUAGGCGGCGCGGUAAGUCGGGUGUGAAAUCUCGGAGCUUAACUCCGAAACUGCAUUCGAUACUGCCGUGCUUGAGGACUGGAGAGGAGACUGGAAUUUUCGGUGUAGCGGUGAAAUGCGUAGAUAUCGUAAGGAAGACCAGUGGCGAAGGCGGGUCUCUGGACAGUUCCUGACGCUGAGGCGCGAAAGCGUGGGGAGCAAACGGG